UGGGUAACCUGCCUUAUAGUGGGGGAUAGCCUUUCGAAAGGAAGAUUAAUACCGCAUAAGAUUGUAGUAUCGCAUGAUAUAGCAAUUAAAGGAGCAAUUCGCUAUAAGAUGGACCCGCGUCGCAUUAGCUAGUUGGUGAGGUGAUGGCUCACCAAGGCGACGAUGCGUAGCCGACCUGAGAGGGUGAUCGGCCACAUUGGGACUGAGACACGGUCCAGACUCCUACGGGAGGCAGCAUG
rnacentral:rRNA from 1 species